rnacentral:rRNA from 1 species
GCAUCGAUGAAGAACGCAGCAAAAUGCGAAAAUCCUUGUGAUUUGCAGAACCCGAGAAGCAUCGGUAUUUGAACGUAAAUGACGCCUUGGUUAACACCAAUGGCACGUCUGGUUGAGUGGGGUAUUCUGAUUAUCUCUCCGGCUUUCGGGCGCGGAAAGGAAAUGUGAUUGGGGUUUCCGGACCCCUCUCAUCAAAUACUUGCGGCUUUUGACGGUUUUUAAGUGAUUUUUAACCGGAUAAGCUAGGUCCAACCACUAUAACUUGCCCCCUCAAUUCAGACGGGAUUACCCGCUGAACUUAAGCAUAUCAAUAAGCGGAGGA